rnacentral:lncRNA from 1 species
GGAAGUAUAACUGAAAAUGCCAUAAGGUUCACAAAAUACUGAAAUAACAACUGAGUGUACUGAUAAUAAUAUCUGAAAACUGAAUAACUAAUUGUACUAGUCUGAAAGCCUCUAACUGUCUGAGUAUGGAGUUGAUGGGACAAACCCUCAACUAACUCUGACUAAAGUCACUACUGACCAAACUGAAAUACAAAAAUAAGAUAAUAUCCUCGAUGGAUGAGAACUCAUUAUUGAAUCUGCUGCUAAUAUCCUGAGCUGCUAAGUAUGAUCAGGAACCCGUGCGUUUGAACCUAUGAUAUGAGACAUCAUAGUGCAAAGAGAAAGUAUGUGUCAAUACUUUGAAUGUACUGGUAUUCUAAGGGAGGUAGGCUGAUGUACAUGGGUUCAUAUGCAUAAGAUGAUAACUGCCUGAAUAAACAUCAUGAAGUAGCUAGAUGAGAGUACAUGCAAAACUGUAACUACUGAACAUGCUGAAUAUGCAAUACUGCUCAUAUAACGUCUGUCUAAAUUAGACUUAAAUUGAAGUACUAAUUUUUGGUAAAUGAAUACUGAUAAUUGAAAGUUUAGACUGAAAUUAAAGUGCUGAAUUCUGGUAACUGAUUACUAUUAACUGAAAGUUUAGACUGAAACUGAAGUACUGAAUUUUGUUGGCUAAGUAACUGAUAACUGAUAGCCAUAGUUCUGUAGAACUAUCUGAGUUCUUUAUUGAUUACUGGGACUGAUUACAGAAUACUGAAUACUGAAACUGUAACUGUAAGAAGUAAUCAUCUAACCGAUCUGCCCCUCUCUAAACUGAUUGGGGUCCAACCUGUAACCCCAGUUGGAAGGAUGUUAGUACCAUACCACGGGUACAGACAAGCUGAAGAGUCACCCUCGUCUGGCAGAUGCCCUAAAUGAAAAUGGUGUUACCCUCAACUAGCAAGGAAAUACCUUAUCAACCCUCAAUUGGCAGAUUGAUAUCUCAAUAUACGCUGGCUACAUAUGUAGUUCUAAAACGCAAGGACUACUACUAAGGAUCACACCCUCUACUGACAGGUGAUCCCCCAUCCUUGAGUUCACUUGAUGCUGAAUCCUACUCCCAACUGAAUGACACUAAGUAUUAAAUUGAACUGAUCACUAGACUAUACUAGGCUUGACUAAACUGACACUGAUCGUGUUGACUGACUGAAUUGGACUAAGUUUACUGAAAUCUGUUAACUGACUGAGUAAUAUUGUUCUUGACAUUUAUUGGGGCUAUUCUAUAGCUACUGUAACUAAGUAAACAGCUAGAUUUCGGGUAAUAAAUUAUCCCAAGACUCGAUAGCAUCAAUAAUAAUAAGACAUAGCAAUUCUUGAGAACAUAACAAUAGUCAAUUGUUCAAAAUACAAUCACUGAGACAUUUCGUCAAAUACUUGUAAGUCAUGAACUUGUACAGGAAUGAGAACAGAUGCUAACAUGUCAUAAUUUUACUAUUUCAAUUCACAUGGACAUUCUAUCAAACACUUGCAAGGCAUAGCUUUAACAUGGAAGUAGUUUAAACAUGUUGUGAUAGUAUGAGUUCAAUACUAAGAUCACCAAAGAUCAUAAUGCACAAUUAAUUCACUUAGGAAUUUUAUCAAACACUUAGAAGGCAUAACCUUGUAGUUGAGCAUAAACAAUAUGCUAAUACAUUAUGACUACAACAACCAAUUCACAAUUCAAGAGUUUUGACAUAAAAAUUACAUCAAUCACAUACAUGCCAUCUUAUAUUCAUGAAACUUACAAUUAAAUCUUGAAUUGAAACUCAUACAAAUACACAAAUAUGAACAUAAUUCAAUUUAUACAUUGGAAUCAUAAUUUAAGUUUUUAAAAAGGGUUCUUGAACUCCAAGGGUGGAAGAAAAUCCAAGGAUGAGCACCUAACAUACCUUAGAGCUUUAAUCUUGAAAGAGAAUUGACCUUUCUUGAACGUUCUUGGAUUGGGAAUUAUAAUUUCUUAGUUUUCUUGAAGAAGGGCUUGAAUCUUAUUUUUGGGAGAUGAUCUUGAGAGAAAACCCUAAUUUUCUUGUUCUUGAGAGUAGAGAGGAUUAUGAGUGAUGAGAAACUAAUAUUUUAUCACUUACUAGGGGUUUAUGUGUGAUUUAAGUCGUGGGAGGUUAGGGAAAAGACCAAAAUACCCCUCCAAAUUCAAAUGGGAAUUAUUGAAUUUUAAGGGUGAUGACCUUGGUUGAUAAGUCAUCAACCAAGUGAUGGCCUAUCACACCAAGUCGUCACUCAGAAGCUGAUUUUAUGAGUUGCUGGUCAUGGGUGAUGUCUUGUGUUGAUAGGUCAUCACUUAGAUGACGGCCUAUCAACUCAGGUCAUCACUUGGAAGCUGGAAAUAAUGGUUCACUGGUUUGGGGUGGCGACUUAGCUGAUAGGUCAUCACUUAGGUGAUGGCCUAUCAGCUCAGGUCGUCACUUUGUUGACAAACUAACAUGCUGAAGUAAAAUGAGUAUAACUUUUCUCUAAGAUAUUGGAUUAAGGUAAAACAAAAUUCGUUGGAAAGAAAAUUCAAAGACAUUUCAUUUUAUAUAUAGUAGGAUACGUAAUUCAUUAUUUACAAGGAGUAAUGGUCAUCUAAAGUUGACCCAAGCUGAAAUGUUCACUAAAACUUAAUCGAUAGGAGUGUUCUCAACUCGUCUUUGAGUUAGGAGAUUUUUAUGACCUCAAUUGAUAUAAAAGGAAGUUUUAACACUAUAAAACUGACCAUCACACAUAUAUAGACAUAGGAUAAUUGGGUUUCGGUCUGUAUACCUAAUAACAAUGGUUUGAAUCCUAGUCCAAAAAUAGGGGCUGUUACAUAAUGUUCACUCUGUAAAGGUGAACAUUUGUGGGAUACCGGACUGCCUCAUUGUUCUAGAUGAUAGGUGCUACAAAAAAUACAUCUCUCCAUCAUGGUUGACUAUUUGGGAUUAUUUCAAGAACCUUUACUUGUUCCAUAUUCCGUGGACGGGUUUAAGGUUACCAAGAUGGUGAAAGUUGUCGUCUCCUAAUUUGAAUACCAUGAGAAUGUAAGGUAUGACAUUUUUCCUUUGACAGACAGUCAUUUAUGUUUGGGUGCCGAUUGUUUUGCAUAAUAUAAAGUUCCAUAUAUGCAAAAUUGGCCUAAUAUUGUAAGAGACCGAUAGGAAAAUCAUCUUAUGACGUUCAUUCUGCCUAAGCCGUAAAGAAAAGUGCUCUCUUACUCCAAUUCGAAUGAAAAUGAGAGACAAAAAAUUAAGAGGAGUAAGGGUGUGCAAGGUGGCAAUUCGAAAGUGAAAAAGGGAGAGGUUGUGGGGAGAGAAGUGAGGGGUUGCCACCAAACUAAGCUAACAUUGUUUGUCCUUCUAUUUCUAAGAACAUUUGUGUAGUUACCAACAUGGCAAGCGAAGGAGAACAAGUGCCAAAAGAGAAGAUUUUCUUUGAAGAUUUGACAAAGUAAGUCUUAGUUGCUGCCAAAGCUUGUGGAGGACCUUCACACCAAGGUAAAGAAGAAUGUUCUCAAGAACUUCAAGGUAAAAUAGCUAGCUUUUACACUUUUUUGCAUGUGAAUGAUAAUUGUGUGGCUAGUAGCCCAUUGAGUGUGAGUAGUAGUUUACCUAUUUGUAAGUCCAUUAAUUUUUUUCUCUUGUUGAUGAUGUACAUAUUGUGAGUAUGGAUACACUAGUUGAUCCUAUUGAUGACCGAAUUGACUCUUCUUGUAAGAUCAAUAUAUGUCCACCUAGUGUUGAAGCCGUUGUAUUGAAUAAAAGUACAUUAUCCACUGAUUCCUUACCUCUUGAUGAUAAUGUACAUGUUGUGAGUGUGGAUACACUAGUUUAUCCUAUUGAUGACUGAAUUGAAUCUUCUUUUAAGAUAAAUUUAUGUCCACCUAGUGUUGAAGCCAUUAUGUUGAAUGAUAGUACAUCAUCUUGUGAGAAUUAUGUUGAUCAACUUAUGUGCAAAAAUAGUCCACCACUUGAGGUUAUGUGUGUUGUAAUUAGUAGAGCUCGAGUGAGUAAAGAAUUUGAAAAUGUUGGUCAAAAGGAUAAGAGUGAACCUGUGAGUUUGUCUUUUGGUAAAGAUUCUCAUGUUUGCUUGGCUCAUAAGGAUAAUCAUGUGCUUGAAACAUCUUUGAAACUUGAUUAUUAUCUUUUAGAGAGUGGACGUGUUUGUUCCAAAUCUGCCCACGAGAUAGACCAUUCACUCUUUAGGUAUAAAAUCUUAUUUGAAGAUGGUAUAAUCAAUCCUAAUGAACCUAGUGAUGAGAAUGAUGUUGAAGGUAUAACUUAUAUUGAAGGCUAUAGCCUAUAUGCUAACCCACUAUGGUGUGAAAACAUUCCUCGUAAAUAUGGAAAUCUCUUCUUGGAAGAUGAGAGUACUUUUAAGGGGAAAGAAAUGUGAGGUCUUGGAAAGGAAUAAUCAAUUGGGUGAUGAUAAUUUUGAUUUGCUUGAAUCCUUAAGAAACCAAUAAGUGAUUGUUCCUUGAAAAUUAAUUUUGGUUGUGAUCCUUUGUAUGACACUCUACCAAUGUUUGAUGAUAUGAGGAUGAAUUGCUUACUUUUUGUGAAGACUUAAGUGAUAAUUCCUUGGACUUUGUUGGUGGUAUAUGUCUACUUGAGGGUACUUAUAAAUAAAGAAAAAGUGUCCACUGUUUGGAAAUUACUCCCUCUUCUACUUUGUGUGACCUUAUUGUUGAGAGUACUCAUGGUGAUGAUUUUGAAACUUGUAGUAAGUACAUACAUAAGGAUACCUUAGUUGAAGUUGACUUGGGUGAUACCUUUCACUACUCUCUAUUUACCUUUGAUGGUGUGUAUGCUCUUGUAGAGAGUAUGUCUUUUAGGUUGAGAAAAGCCUAUGGGGGAAAAGAGUGUUGUCUACUUCCAUGUGUAAGGCCANNNNNNNNNNNNNNNNNNNNNNNNNNNNNNNNNNNNNNUGGCACACCCAACUUGUUGCUUGGUCUACAUGACAAGCAAAGUUUCAUUCUUAAAAACCCGAGGGUAAAAGUGUCAUUGUCUUCUUGGGGUAAUGCUUCUAAAUGUGCAUCCUUGCAUGACACAUUUGUGCUUGAGUUGAGUGAAUCCCAACUUGUGAAUGUCAAGUUGUAGAUUUGUUUGAAAGGAAGGAUUUGUAUGUGCUUAAAUGUUUUGAUUUCAUCCUUGUAUAUAUCGUUUGCUAAGUCUUUUGAGCCAAAUAACAUUCUCAUAGAUAAUAGCACCUUGGAUGAUGCCUUUGCAUUUGAUUCCUUUCUAUACUACCUCUUUUCUUAUGAUAACAUCCAUGAUAGUUUUGGAUUUGCCUUAUGUGGAGGUAGGAUAUUUGUUGGUUGAUCCACUUGUUUGAGUGACAUUACUAUAUGUUUUUUAUGGACUUUAACUUCAAUUGAGGCACCACUCUUGAUGUGGUCUUUUAAAGAGGUGAUGAAGCAAUUAUGUCUUAUGGCUCCUAAGGUAAAGGUAAUCUUACCUUUUGUAUCUAGUUAUGUCGUUAUGAACAUUAUGGUUUCCUUAACCCUUGGUGAUUUCCUUAGCCAACUCCUUUGUGCAUUCUUCAAUAGAUUUCUAAUGUUUGACACAAAGGAUCUUUGGUUAUAUUUCAAUUGUGAACCACAUUGGCAUGAUGAUGUUAUUUAUCUUACUAACCCUAACCCUCAUUCCUUGGGGAUGUUGUGCUUGCUUGUCCUUUCGUUGGUCUUGCAAGGUUUGGAUUCGAGAGCGAAUACUUUUCAAGUAGGGGAGGAUGAUACGAGCCAAAUGACCAUCAUAGUUUUUGAAGAUAUCAUUGGAGGCCAACACAUGAAGACUCAAGCCUUGGUCACCUCGAGGACACAAGAACAUGCAUGGAGGACUCAUCUUGAGCACAAUAUAAAGCAAUUCUGUGUGUGGAAGAUUACUUGGAAGCUUGCCUUUGAUGCCUAUUCGAGGGUGCAUAUGUUGAAGUGUGGAGAUGAAAUUCAAACACUCCAAAGCCGCCCCAUGUCUACACUUCAAGGCCGCCUCUUUUGUUACUCUCAUUAAGGGUGUUUUGGUCUUUUUGUGUCCUUCCAUUACAACUACAUAGGUGCCCCUUUUUAUUAAGGGUAGUUUGGUUAAUUUAUGAUGUAAUAAGCUAGGCUAUAAAUAGGUUCCUAUUAGUCUUAUUUUCCUUAGUUUAUGAUGGAUAUUUGAAAGACAUUGAAAGUUUUCUUCUCUCUUUGCGAGUGUAGUGUAGGGCUUGGAAAAUCCAUUAUUGAUAUUUGCUUAGAAACGGCGGUUGUAAGGCGGAGUUGAUUCCCUUAGCAAUCACCGUAAGAAGAUUGGUGUUUGAUUUUUGUGAGUUGAAGGGUAUUGUUAUUUGGUACACGGUUUGGUUCUUGAUUCUUCGUAACUUCUUAUGUCAUCUUAUCUAUCUUUUCUUUAUUGUGUUUGUUUGUUAUCUUGUUUCUCUUAAUCUUUAUUUCUUUAGGCCUAUUCUUAUAUCAAUAUACAUGGAGGGUAUUUCUGUAAAUAACUUUUUUAGAAAUUAUGUAAUUCAUGUUAUUUUUAAUACAUCAAACCAAAUACUAUUAUUCUCAUAAUAUAUUCGGGUAUGCAGAAUCUGUAUAUUGCAACAACUUCAACUCGAGUUCAAGUAUGAACAAGAACAGAAUGAAGUAUUAAAUACCCUCAACACAAGAUCAAAAAGACCUUUCCAAGAGGUGUAUUUAUUUUUCAGAAAAUAAAGAUGAAACGGAAAUGAUUAAGGCCAAGUCGUCCGAAUUCACAAAUUUUCCUUAAGGAAUAAUUUCCCUCACUGUACCUGAGGUUAUAGAAUCUUCCUCCCAGGAUAAAAUGGCCUUCAAUGACUAUAGAGGUACCUCAAAUAGGCGGAUUCUUUGAACACACUCACAGUUUGAAUAAUCACACUUAGAGUAUUUUUAAGACAAGAAGAAGAAGUUUUUAAUCUGAAAAUUUCUGUAUUUUCUAUAUCAUAAACCUGUGGAUGAAACCAGGUUUAUAUAGCCACUAGAUGCCCCUUUGAAAAAGUGGCAUUGGUUCAUAUUAGAGGUGUGUGACUCUUCCUGAAAAUGCAUGUCUAUUCACUUAAACAAUGCAAUAAUUUUUUGAAACAGUGCACUGGUUCACUGAAAUAGUGUGUACUUUCAUUGAAGAGUUGCAACUUUCUAAAACUGUGCAAUCUUCUGUAACAGAAGCAACAAUCUAAAAUAGUGCAACCUUCUGUAACAGAAGCAAGGAUCUGAAAUAAUGCAACCUUCUGUAAUAUCAUUUCAAACAGAUGCAUCAGUUCUAAAACACUGUUACUGCGUGUAUAUAUAUAAAUAGAGGCCGAAAUAGUGCAGAAAAAUUUUACUGCAUUUUUCCCUGGCAUUCUUCGGAAUUCAAAUAAAUUUUGUCCAAAAAAAAUAGAUCUCAUCGAUCGAUCAAAUUCAAAUCCAAAUCCAAAUCCAAAGCCGAGCCGAGCAAGCGACGACGACGACGGGGCGAGGAAUCAUCUAUUUCUUGCCUCACUUGCCAUGUGGAGUAAGUGUUUCCCACUAUAAACACUCUCAAGUUCUCUUCUUCCACUAAUAUGGGAGAAAGAGUAAACUUACCAAAAUUGAGUACACUUUCCAUUUUUGGUGUUAACUCAAUUUUUUUUCCUCUUCCACUUGAUUUCUCCAUUUUCCAUUCAACACACUUUCAUUACAAUGAACCCAACAAUCCCCACAUGAAUGGGGAAUGACUAUUUAUCAUAAAACUUUUACAAGUAUGUGAUUAUCAAGCAAAUAUUGAUUGUAUCUGGAUAAGUGGGUUUCCCUUUAAACUUUCUGUAGUGAACAUGCAUCGGAUGCACUCGGCCAAUCGGUAGAUUUGAUAUCUUUGAACCGUCGAGCUUUAAUGUACACCUAGAUAAAACAUGUCACACAACCAACCUUUUACAGUUUAUGGUUCUUACGGUUUUAUUCUUUUCAGCCAUGAACACGUCCCGAUUUUCAUGAGACCUUAGAGAAUAGGCCUUUAUUAACAUUCUCUUUGAAGCGGCUUCCACUUCGCCCAUAAAUAGGUGAUUUCUAAACGUUCAAUCCUAUAUAUUAAACUAUUUGGUUAAAUCUGUCAAAUUUAGAUAAUCAUUAAAAGACUUUUCACCUUAAGUCUUAUUCUUGUUUACUAUACAUUGUCUACAUCAUGAGAAUGGGUUGGGUAAUUGACAAUGUUGAACCUGUCAGACACAACUUUGUUUAAUCUCCUUGAACCUAGCUUUUGGGAUCUCCAGUCUGCUAGGUAGAGUUACUGCCAUUCUGACUCGUCCUAGGCCUUAAACCCAUUUCCUUAGAUGUCCUUUCUACUCCUUCUCUAGAUAAGCCUUUUGUAAAUGAAUCUGACACAUUAUCCUUUGACUUUACAUAGUCUACAGUGAUAAUUCCACUAGAGAGAAGUUCUCUUACGGCAUUAUGUCUUCGUCUUAUAUGAUGAGAUUUACCGUUAUACAUCAUGCUCCCUGCCCUAUCUAUUGCCACUUGGCUAUCACAGUGUAUACAUACUGGUGUCACUGGCUUGGGCCAAUACAAAAUAUCUUCCAAGAAAUUUCAGAGCCAUUCUACUUCUUCACCGACUUUAUCUAAAGUGAUAAAUUCAGAUUUCAUUGUAGAGCGAGCGAUACAGGUCUGUUUGGAUGAUUUCUAAGAAACUGCUCCUCUACCGAUAAUAAAUACAUAUCCACUUAUGGAUUUUACUUCGUUCGAUCCAGUGAUCCAAUUUGCAUCACUAUAUCCUUCAAGCACCGCAAGAUAUUUAUUAUAAUACAAAGCAUAAUUUUGAGUGUAUUUAAGAUACCCCAAAACUUUUUUUAUUGCCAUCCAGUGAGUUUUGUUGGGAUUACUCGUGUACCGACUUAAUUUACUGAUAGCGCAUGCUAUGUCUGGUCGUGUAUAAUUCAUUAUAUACAUUAAACUUCUCAAUACUCUUGUGUACUCCAAUUGCGAGUCACUUUCACCUUCAUUCUUUCGAAGUGCAAAGCUUGCCUCCAAUGGAGUCUUGGCAAUACCGAAUUCUAUAUAUUUGAACUUGUCAAGUACCUUUUCGAUAUAAUAGACUGUGACAAUGUCAACCCUUGUGGAGUUCGAUGGAUUCUUAUACCUAAGAUCACAUCUGCAACUCCAAGGUCCUUCUUAUCAAACUUGCUCUCGAGCAUUCGUUUUGUUGCAUGUAUGUCAGAAAUGUCUCUACUGAAGAUAAACAUAUCAUCCACAUAUAAACAUACAAUGACUUGGUGAUUUGAAGUGUCUUUAAUAUAAACACAUUUAUCACAUUCAUUUAUUUUAAAUCCGUUUGCCAACAUGGUUUGGUCAAACUUCGCAUGCUAUUGGUGCUUGCUUUAGUCCAUAUAGUGACUUGAUAAGUUUAUACACCUUAUUUUCCUGUCUUGGAACCAUAAAAUCCUCAGGUUGUUCCAUGUAAAUUUCUUCCUCCAAAUCUCCAUUUAGGAAUGCGGUUUUCACAUCCAUUUGAUGGAUUUGAAGAUCAUAUACCGCCUCCAAGGUAAUUAACAUUCGAAUCGAGGUUAUCCUUGUUACUGGCGAGUAUGUAUCAAAGUAAUCAAGGCCAUCCUUUUGUUUGAAGCCUUUUACUACAAGUCUUGCCUUGUAUUUGUCAAUAGUACUAUCCGCCUUCAUUUUUCUUUUGAAGAUCCAUUUAGAAUCUAAAGGUUUAUUUCCGUGAGGAAGGUCAACCAAUUCCCAUGUAUGGUUGUUUAAGAUUGAAUCAAUCUCACUAUUGACUGCCUCCUUCCAAAAGGAUGAGUCUGACGACGACGUCGUUUCUUUAAAUGUUUGAGGCUCAUUUUCUAAGAGAAAUGUUACAAAAUCCGAUCCAAACAAAGUUGACGUUCUUUGAUGUGUGCUACGUCUUGGAUUUUCUUCAUUAUGUACAUUCUCACUUGGUUCAUCUCGAGGUCGUUUAGAUCCUCCGCUAGAUUGUUCGUGUCUAAUUUUAUACGGGUAAAUGUUUUCAAAGAAUUCAGCAUUGUCUGAUUCAAUUACCAUAUUUUCAUUAAUAUCCGGAUGUUCAUAUUUAUGAACCAAAAAUCGACAUGCUUUACUACUUUUAGCAUAUCCUAUGAACACGCAGUCCAUCGUUUUAGGUCCUAUCUUAACCCUUUUAGGUGUAGGAACUUGAACCUUCGCUAGACACCCUCACACUUUGAAAUAUUUCAAGUUAGGUUUCCUUUCUUUCCAUUUUUAUAAGGAAUUGAUUGUGUCUUACUAUGGGGAACUCUGUUGAGUAUACGAAUUGCCGUAAGGAUGGCCUUUCCCAUAAGUUUUGUGGUAAACCAGAACUUAUAAGUAAGGCAUUCAUCAUUUCCUUCAAAGUUCAAUUUUUCUUUUCCAUAAUUCCAUUAGAUUGAGUUGAAUACGGGGCCGUAGUUUGAUGGAUUAUUCCAUUCUCUACACAUAUUUGCUCAAAGGGAGAUUCAUAUUCUCCGCCCCUAUCACUUCUUAUCAUUUUAAUCUUUUUGUCUAACUGAUUUUCAACUUCAGUUUUAUAUUGCCUAAACGCAUCUAUUGCUUCAUCCUUACUAUUUAGCAAGUAAACAUAACAAUAUCUAGUGCAAUCGUCAAUAAAAGUUAUGAAAUACUUUUUUCCACCACGAGAUGGUGUUGACUUCAUAUCACAAAUGUCAGUGUGUAUUAAGUCUAAGGGAUUAGAAUUCCUUUCAACGGACUUAUAAGGAUGCUUUGCAUACUUCGAUUCCACACACGUUUGACAUUUUAAUUUAUUCCACUCAAAGUUUGGCAAAACUUCUAAGUUAAUCAGUUUUCGUAACGUUUUGUAAUUAACAUGGCCUAAACGUUCAUACCAUAAAUCAUAAGACUCAAGCAAAUAAGACGAAUUCGAACUUUUAUUCAUUUCAAGAGUCAUUACAUUCAUCUUAUAAAGGCCUUCGGUCAGAUAGCCUUUUUCUACAUACAUUUCUCCUUUGUCAACUACAAUUUUUCCAGAAACGAUUACACAUUUGACUCCGUUCUUAUCUAGGAGUGAAACAAAAAUUAAAUUCCUACGUAACUCCGGAACAUAAUAACACAUUAUUCAGUGUCAAGACCUUGCCGGAAGUCAUCUUUAAGCAAAUUUUUCCUCUUCCCUCCACCUUAGCAGUAGCGGAGUUGGCCAUGUAGAGCAUUUCUGCUACUUGAGCCGGAUCAAAUGACGAGAACAACUCUUUUUUUGCGUAAACAUGGUGUGUGGCACCUGAAUCCAUCCAGCAUUCGCGUUGAUUCCCCACCAAGUUGCAUUCCGUGAACAUAGCACACAAAUCAUCAUAUUUUUGGUUGGACUCAAUCAUAUUCGCUUGGUCCUUUUUCUUUCCUUUCUUCGGGGCUCGACAAUCUAUGGACUUAUGGCCAAUUUUGCCACAAUUGAAGCAUUUUUUCUUGAACUUUUUAUUGGGUUGAUUGCUUCCAUGUUCAACUUUCUUUCUUUUCUUCGAGUUGUUUUGACCAUCUUCUACAAUAUGUACUCCACUCAUUGUAGAAUUUCCCUUUGACCUUCUUUCGGCAGCUUUAUUGUCCUCUUCAAUACAAAGUCAGACAAUAAGAUCUUCAACGGUCAUCUCCUUGCGUUUAUGCUUUAAGUCCAGGAACCGUGCAACAAGGAGUUUCUUAAUUUCCGCAUCCUCCGCUUUAUAUUUCCGCUCAAGUGCCCCCCACAGUUCCUUUGAUGUCUUGGUUCCACUAUAGACAUUAUAGAGGUCGUCUUGGAGACCAUUCAGAAUAUAGUUCCUGCAAAAGAAAUCCGAAUGUUUCCAAGCUUCUACAAUAACGAAGCGGUCUUUGUCCGAGGUUUCCUCGGGCACCUCAGGAGCGUCUUCGCUAGUGAACCAUUAUAGACAUAAAGUGGUGAGGUAAAAGAACAUCUUUUGUUGCCACUACUUGAAGUCAAUGACAGAAAAUUUUUUUGGCGGAGCAUUUGUGCGACUUGAUGUGGCAAUAUUAUUUGCCCCCACAGACGUUGUCACAUCCAUCAUUUGACUUUCAGUUGUCAUUUUUCCUGUCACCACAAGACAGAAUACUUAGUAUUUUUCAGAAUACUAUUUAUAAAGUUAAAUAACUUGAAAUUCUUCUUCUUAUUUCUAGUUAACGAUGAAGUUUUUAUUACUUCAAAUCGUCAACCGAGUGAACCUUAACUUGUGAUAAAGAUUUUAUGUCUUCUAAUCACUAGUUAAAUUUAAGCAGAGUAGAAAGUCUAAGCUUUAAUCUCCAAAAACAAGCAAUACAGAUUCUGUAAGGUUUAUUCCUUAAGAUUGUUAUUUUCACAAUAUAUUCGGGUAUGCAGAAUCUGUAUAUUGCAAUAACAACUCCAACUCGAGUUCAAGUAUGAACAAGAACACAAUAAAGUAUUAAAUACCCUCAACACAAGAUCAAAAAGACCUUUCCAAGAGGUGUAUUUAUUUUUCAGAAAAUAAAGAUGAAACAGAAAUGAUUAAGGCCAAGUCGUCUGAAUUCAUGGAUUUUCAUUAAGGAAUAAUUCCCCUCACUGUACCCGAGGUUAUGGAAUCUUCCUCCCAGGAUAAAAUGGCCUUCAAUCCGACUAUAGUGGUACCUUAAAUAGGCGGAUCUUCGAACACACUCACGGUUUGAAUGAUCACACUUAGAGUAUUUUUAAGACAAGAAGAAGAAGUUUUUAAUCUGAAAAUUUCUGUAUUUUCUAUAUCAUAAACCUGUGGAUGAAACCAGGUUUAUAUAGCCACUAGAUGCCCCUUUGAAAAGGUGGCAUUGGUUCAUAUUAGAGGUGUGUCACUCUUCCUGAAAAUGCAUGUCUCUUCACUUAAAUAAUGCAAUAAUUUUCUGAAACAGUGUGUACUUUCAUUGAAGAGUUGCAACUUUUUGAAACUGUGCAAUCUUCUGUAACAAAAGCAGUAAUCUGAAAUAGUGCAUCCUUCUGUAAGAGAAGCAACAACCUAAAACAAUGCAACCUUCUGUAACAUCAUUUCAAACAGAUGCAUCAGUUCUGAAACACUGUUACUACGUGUAUAUAUAUAAAUGGAGGCCGUAACAGUGCAGAAGAUCAUUUGCCGAAGCCGAGCCGGGCGAGCGACGACGACGUCGGCGUGAGGCAUCAUCUAUUUCUCGUCUCACUUGCCAUGUGGAGUAAGUGUUUCUCAUUAUAAACACUCUCAAGUUCUCUUCUUCCGCCAAUGUGGGAGAAAGAGUAAACUUGCCAAAAUUGAGUACACUUUCCAUUUUUGGUGUUAACUCAAUCUUUUUUUUUCUCUUCCACUUGAUUUCUCCAUUUUCCAUUCAACACACUUUCAUUACUAUGAACCCAACAAAUACUACAUGCAAAAAAUACAACUAUAACUAAUGCAAGCAUAGCUAACGUAAACAUUACUAAUUCAUCAUAUUUUGCAUUAAUAUUCUUAUACAGUCUACCAAAUGAUCCCUUCAAAGUCAUAAAAGUCGAUAGAUAUGAAAAGUCAUGUAUAGUAUUUUCUUCCAUAAAUAAUAGACCUCAAAGAAAAUUCAAAAGAACCUACAUGGAAAGCCGAAGACGACUCUAAAGAAACUCACCACUAGUUUAUAUCUUUAUCUCUUUGUCAUUCUUUCAAGUGGAGAUACAUUUCACAAUGCAAAAAGCAGGUUGAAAAUCGACAGACGCCUUCGAUUUAUUGACUCAAACCAAUCCAAAAUCGAUCAUCUUCGUUGUCAUCGAUCUUUAGUUCAUCUUCAUCAACCUCCAAUGUUGUCUUUCUCUACAGAAAAUCAUCGUACCCUAUGGACAGAGAUCAUUGAAUCAACAAGGAGCAUAUCUAGUUUUGGCCAUUUUCAUAGAAUUCAAAUCCUCUUCCUCUUGCCUAUCGUUUUCUCUCUAAUGGUAUAUCCUUCUUUCCACCUCGCCCUCUUUCAUCCCGAAUAUGAUUUCAUCAGUUUCGCACAACUUGAAUUUUCCCACUUUUUCCUAAUGUCCACUUUCGAAAUUAUUGUACCCAUACUAUACGCUCUGUUUUUGUCUAACUUUUUCCUCCAUGGAGUAAUAACCACAACUACAUAUAGCGCGGUUCAAGAGUUGUUGCACGUUGGACAUAUCAACCUUGUUUCGUCUAUUAAAUCUAUCGUAAAUUCUUUCUUCCCACUUCUCUUCACCUCACUCAUUUCGCAAACCAUUUUCAUUUCUGUUGCGCUUCUUUUUGCCCUUAUGUUGGAGUUUGUAGUCCAAAGCGUUCAAUCUCUCGGAUUAACUGAACUCAAAUGCGACUCGAAUCACUUGUUUUGGGUUAUUCCGGUCCUGAUUGUGCUUGUGACAUUUCUACUAUGGCUACAAGUGAACUGGUCUUUAACUUAUUUGAUACCAACGGUUGAACUGGAAAAGGUUUUGUUGCUGAGACAUGCGCCUAAGGAGAAAGUCUUUGCAACCAAAGUGACCGGAGGUUACAAGACACUAAGGAGAUGGGUAGGUUUUGGGAUUCUUAUGUACUAUGGGCUUGCUAUUGUAGGAAUGGUGGUUUAUUGUGCCAUGUUUUUGGUCAGUGUGGGUGCAGCAAAGGGUGCAAUGUGGACUAGCUUUGAGGUGAUACUGAAGACUGCUCUGACUUCAGUGAGGAAAUAUGUAGUGGUUUGCUACUAUCUCCAUCCAUCUUUACUUGUAUACUAUUGACUUGAUACACGCCUUAAGAUAUAGUAAUAAACACUGAAAACAAAAUCUUACUCUUUAAAUACAAUAUAUUAAUGCUUCGGAAACUGCAUUGGGUAAUAAAUAUUAUUUAAUAGCAAGGGUAAAAUGAACACAAGAUGAUAGAUAAUUUAUAGUUUUCCAAACUGAACAAAUAUUGGUUAGAGAUGUUUUGUAUAUUUGACAAGUAAAUAUGAACCGAAGGAGUAUUUUCUUUUUUUUGGCUACAUGUUAUUGUUGCUAUGAACGAUAGAAAGGGUAUUUCGGAUAUGUUUUCGACUUACCUAAAGCAUGCCAAACCAUUUGAAAAAGGGUAUACAGACACGAGAGCAAUAACAAUGAUGAAAUAAUGCAAAAUGAAGAGCAUUAUAAUAACAAAAACAUAAUGUCAUUUCCUAACACAGAAAUCAUUUGGUGAUAGGUGAAAUAGAACAACUUACACAAUAGCAUGACUUUUUCUCAUCAUCCAAUGGCUCUCCUUUGGACCAAUCUAUGACCGAAGAAAAAUGAGUUUGUCUCUCUUUUUCGCAUGCUAUAUGUAGCAGUGGUUACCCCACAGAGAAAAAUCAGGGACAAAAAUAGAGUAAAAAGAAUUUUAUCAUCUUCCAACACACCUAUCUUAAUCCACUUUCGCAGUCCCCUCCACACCACUCCACCCUUAUC